AACGAACGCUGGCGGCAUGCCUAACACAUGCAAGUCGAACGAGACCUUCGGGUCUAGUGGCGCACGGGUGCGUAACGCGUGGGAACCUGCCCUUAGGUUCGGAAUAACUCCCCGAAAGGGGUGCUAAUACCGGAUAAUGUCUUCGGACCAAAGAUUUAUCGCCUUUGGAUGGGCCCGCGUUGGAUUAGCUAGUUGGUAGGGUAAAAGCCUACCAAGGCGACGAUCCAUAGCUGGUCUGAGAGGAUGGUCAGCCACACUGGGACUGAGACACGGCCCAGACUCCUACGGGAGGCAGGAGUGGGGAAUAUUGGACAAUGGGCGAAAGCCUGAUCCAGCAAUGCCGCGUGAGUGAUGAAGGCCUUAGGGUUGUAAAGCUCUUUUACCCGGGAUGAUAAUGACAGUACCGGGAGAAUAAGCGCCGGCUAACUCCGUG
rnacentral:rRNA from 1 species